UACGAAGGGGGCUAGCGUUGUUCGGAAUUACUGGGCGUAAAGCGUGCGCAGGCGGCUUUCCAAGUCAGUGGUGAAAGCCCCGGAGCUCAACUCCGGAAAAUGCCAUUGAAACUGUGAAGCUUGAGAACGAGAGAGGUGAGUGGAAUUCCCAGUGUAGAGGUGAAAUUCGUAGAUAUUGGGAAGAACACCAGUGGCGAAGGCGGCUCACUGGCUCGUAACUGACGCUCAUGCACGACAGCGUGGGGAUCAAACAGG
rnacentral:rRNA from 1 species